CGCGACCCCGAGCCCGGCUUUGGAGGGGCCCGGGUCGGUGCGGGGCGCGGCGAGGGUGCUUCCUGCAGCUCUGCACUGGCCACUCCCCGCUGCACUCGGCCCGGUGGCUUCUAGUUCCCGGAGGGCCCGGUCCGGAACGCGCAGCACCAAAGCUGCCCCCUGUGUCGGGACCUCGGACUCCCCAGGGUGUCCUGGGCUCUGGGGCCCCUCCAUGCUCUCCUCGGUCCCAGGGAAGAGGUGGCGCCGGCCAGCAGCCCGCCGGGGGGACCACUUCUCUUGUCCGGCGCUCCAGUGUGGGGGCUGCUCCCUCCCGCGCCGCUCCUCUUCCUUACCCCUCGCUGCGUGAACCGAGAAGUUGGUGCCGCCACAGCUUUCUCACGAAGUGCCACAUCCCAGGACACUACAAACGCUUGAUAAAUAUUAAAUCGGCCCUGUGGCUCUCCAGCCCGAGACCGCUCACCAAUGGAAACACGGGCAUGGCGGGAAAAGUUUGCUCUGGCAUCGGAGGCAGAGACCUGGGCUCCAUUUAUGGCUCUACCCCUCAGCGACCUUAAGCAACUUUAACCUCUCCAAAACACAAUUUCAUCAUCUGUAAAGUGGAGUUAGGGAACCCAGUCUCUCAGAGUCGUUGUAAUGACUAAAGGAGAUAUAAGGUGCAUACAUCACCUAGCAGAGUUUCUAGCUCAGGCUGUCAUUAAAUGUGAUUCUUAAGGAACCGGGUCACACUUGGUACAAGAAGCUGCUUGAACAAUUUAGCGGCAGAAGGGAUGUAGAGUCAAUAAGCCGAGACUGCUGAACAAAACCUCCAAGAAAUAGAUGACGUAUUCUAUUUGCAUUAUCCGGCACGUUGUAGACACCCAGUAAAUGGUGAUGUCAUUUAUUUUUGCCUGGCCCCCCACCCCUACAAUUGAAUUUAUGGUGAAAUUAAUUAAAUUCACUGAAUGGAGUGUGAUCCUAUCAUCUCUUUGUAGGUUUUUGGAAGAGAAUCAUCACUUCCUUUGAUUUCCAACCUCCUCCAUAAUACGGAGAAACUAUAAUACACAGGAAUUUUCAGUCGUGGACUGCCAACACUGACCCCCUCAGAGACCAUCAUUACUACCCACGACUUCCAUCGUUUUCAGAGUUCUUUGAUCCUACAGACCUGGGCAAAGAAUUCAGCUAAGGAUCCGAGGUGAUGUGAGAGGCAAAGUCAGGCAGACAAAUGGAGAGCUCCGCCCUUGCUUCUCAGAAGAUACAGCUGUGCUGCAUGCAACUGAUCAGAUAUAUCUACGAAUCACAUUCCUGUGGGAGACCUGUCAAGCAGAGGGAGAAUGGGGGGUUCUCCUCAUGAUGGAAAAGAAUCCAAACAGAAGGGUUCAUGGAGCAAAGAGUUCUGCUUAGAUUUCGUUUGUAAUUGGAUCCCCACUGUGUGUACACUUUAUCUCUGCUUCCUCCCCUCCCCUUCCCGGCCCUUUCUCUUGUUCUCUAAGCCUUAAUUUUCUUCCUGUGCCUACUUUCUCCUUUUCCUUUUUACAUCUAUGCCUUAACCCUGCCAAUGGCCCCCUGAGAAUUUAUUAAUUAUGAUGGUGGGCCUGAGAUUUCAUAUCAAAAAAAUAUUUUUAGAGCAUUAGCCAUGUGCUGAGCACUGUGCUGGACACUUUAGGAGAUUCAAAGAUGACUAAGACCAGGCUCCUCUCUUCAUAAGUUUGCAGUAGAUGAGGCAGUAAAACCACCACAUAUAGGACGGGGUGUUCAGUAGAGGUAAAAAUGACAUAUAUUGAGCGUAGGGAGGAGGAGGAUCAGGAAGAUCUUCACGUUCCCGCCAGAGAACAUACUGGGCACUCCAGGUAUCUAGGACUUAGAGAAAGUUGCGAGGGCAGAUGUAGGGAAAACACUCAGCCAGGAAUGCCUUCUCCUUUCCUCUCUCCCACCAGGGUGUCUCCUACUUUAGGUCUCAGCUCAGAUGUUACCUGCUCCAGGAAGUCCCUCAACCCUGUAGACUGGGUUUGGGACCUCCAGUGUCUCCCAUCAUGUCCGGUACGGACCCUUCUUGCAGCACUGUCUGCACUAACUUGAAAUUUCUUGUUUGUUUCUUCAAGCCUUUGGACUGAGUUCUGGAGAUGAGAGUCCAGGUCUUGUUUUCCUUUGCAGCCCAGCUCCCAGAACAAUCCCUGCCCCAAGAGUGGUUCAGUCAAGCCUUACCGAAUGAAGAGAUCGUCUAGGUGAAGGUAAUGGCAUGGCAAAGCUCAGAGGCACAAAAUUAGAAAAAAGGUGCAUAUGGAUGCAACUUGAGCCUGUUGCCUCUGCCUCCCCAUGGGCCUUGCUUCACCUACGGUUGCCUGUCUCGUCUUUGGUCUUUCACCUCCCUCUCCUUCUGCUGGUAAACAUGCUUGAGUCUCACCCAUUCUAAGAGAAUUUUCCCCUUCAAGUAUCAGCCUGUCUUUUCCUCUUUCCUUCCCUUCGGUAUCAAACUUCAUGAGAAUAAUGGGUUGUACUUACUACCUACAUGUUCUUACCGCCUGCUCACUCUUUAGCCUACUGGCUCUGUCUACUGUCCCCAUGACUGUCUCUUCCCUAGCAAAGGCUACAGCCAUCCUAACUGCCAAAUCUGACAUCCCCUUUUUAGGCAUUGUCCCAUUUGCCACCUCCUACUCUUUUUCAAGACCAGUUUAGAUGUAACCUCCUUAGGUGAACAUCCUCUGACCUCCAAAGCAGGCUUAGAUGUCUCUUCCUGGUGCCUCACAGAGACACUCUCCUCUCUUGGCCUCCAUGAGCCUCCGAUCUCUCUGGCCACUUUUUGAAUCUCUUUGGGGGCUUCUCUUACACCAGCUCUGAAGAAGGUUCUGUCCUUGCUUCAGGGUUCUAUCUUUGGUCUGUUGUCCCUCAACACACUUCCCAUGAGGGACCCAUUCUCUCCAAGCCUUCAUUCUUCACCCAAAUGCUAAUGACCCCUCACCUUUAUCCCUGGCAUCUCCUGUGAACUCUGGGUCCAGUUUCCCACAGGAUUUCUCCACCUGAAUGUCCUCCAUCUUAGAACACACAGCUUGAAUUCAUGACCUAUACCUGCUGCACAAAACCAGAUCCCUUUUCCCAGUUUCAGCUGAAAGCAUUGCCUAAACACCUUGAUCAUCCCUAACAAUUCCUUUCUGCCUCCUCCACAGAUGAUUGGUUACCAUGGCCUGAUAUAGGUACCUCUAGAAUAUCUCACAUCUGUCUCUUCCUCAUGCUUGUCCCCAGGGCUUUCAUCAUCUCUUGCUAGGACCAUUGCAGUAGCCUUCUAACUUGUCUCCCAGUAACCAGGCAUUCCAGCCCAUCCUCCACAUUAUCACGAGGAGAAUUUCUGAAGUACACAUUUGAUUGUGUCACUGUUUAAGAGUGUCCAGUGAUUGAUUUCUCUGCUGCUUGCAGGAUAAAGUCCAAACUCUAGCUUGGCAGACCCAUAAAGGGCAAGGUCUAAAGGCCAUAUCACCUUCCGCUGUUCCCUAUUUUGAUUAGUGACCUUUUACUGUCGAGCCCUUUUUCAGCCUAAUCUCCACCUUCACAAACUAUAGCCCCUCAAACGCAUCAGGUACUUUCAGGACUCCAGCCUUUUGUUUAUAUAGCUGCCUCAGCCUGGAACAUCUCCCGCCCGUGAAAUUCCUGGAAGACAAAUACUGUGUCUGCCAUCUCUGUAUACCCAGUGUCUUCUAGCCACUGCAGUGCCUGGGAUAAAAUAGGGACUUAGUAAAUACUGAAUAAAGAACUCCCACUUCAAGGAA